CGACGAAGGCACAUAAUAAAUGCAUCCGUUGAUAAAUCGCUAGCGAUUUCUAAAUGUAUUGCCUUUGUGGCAAAACAAAUAAAUAAGCAUAAAUAGCUCUUCGAUAUUUUACAACCGCGUCCCUUUCUGUCUGUGAUCAAGAACGGCCCGGCAAAAUCUACACCGCUGACUUCGAAUGGAUAACUUGGAGUAACUCUUGAAGCUGAAGAAUUUUGGAGACGGCCACCGACACGCAGGAACCCGUUAUCGUCUAGAAAUGGACUUAGAGAAAGCAGUCGCGAUUUAGAAGAUUCUACAGCCGCUCAUUUUGCACUGGAAUGAUCGAUGGCCGCCUCGGAAACAAUUCUUACAUAGACGACCGGCAGAAACCUUAGCAAUACGUUCUUCUAUUGGUAACGAUUUAAACAUACUGCAGUCAAACAACUUGUGUUUUAAACCACAAACUGUGCAAGAAAAAUCAGGAGAUGUCUUUGAGGAAAUAAUAAAUGAUUUAGAUUUAACCAUAUUGUUGCGUUUUUCAUUUUUAUUUGAUCUAUUAGCAUUGACUGUCUCUAAAACUGUUGCCCUUUGACGUAAAAAUGUAUAAAAAUUUUGUAAAGUAGGUGAUUCCUUAUUGCUUCUAAAUUCUUCCCAUUUACCCGCUGUAAUACUGUCUAAUUUACUAACUGCUAUGUAUAUAAUAAUCGUGUCCCAUGAAUCGGUCGGCUCUUCUAAACUAUUUAAUGCGCUUAAAUUUUUAGAAAAUGCAUCAAUUAAACAACGAAUACCCUUAUCUGAUUCCUUAGACAAAGGUUCGAUUGAAAAUAUCGCUUUUAAAUGCUCAUUAAUUAAUAUACGUUUAUUAUUGUACCUAUCACAUAAUAAGUUCCAAGCAAUUCGAUAAUUAGCUGCAGAAACAGCGAUAGAACUAAUAACGUCACUGGCAGCGCCAUCUAGAUAGGACUUCAAAUAGUGAAACUUAGCAACUUCUUGAAUACUUCCAUUCUCAUGAAUCAAAGACAGAAAGGUAUCCCUGAAGGUUAUCCACAUGCUGGUCUGUCCGUCGAAUCUUAAAAUAUGUAAUGGAGGUAGCUUCAGAUUUAAGGCAGACUGAGUGUUGGCAGAUGAAGUUUCAGAUUGGUUUUCAUUAUUGUAAUAUUCUAACAGAGCUUCAGCUUCAGCAAUUAAAGAAAAGAAUUUAUUUUCUGUUUGUUCGCGUUCCUCAAUUUGUUUAUCUAAAUCUUCAUCCAAUACCCACUUCUCAAUGUCUGUCUGCACCUUAUCAAAGUUAUAUGAUAGUUCACGAGUUUUUACUAGCCUUAAGUUUAAUUCAUGAAUCCUAACCUUAUUUAUUUCUCGAGUUUCCAGUAAUGGUCGUAAAUAUUUUUCAAACAAUGUUAAUUGAGCUCUAAUUGUGCUCCGUUGUUUUACUAAAUCUUUAUAGUCUGCCAUUAUUAAAGUGCAAACAAUGAAUCAAUAGGUACUGACUUAUACUGAAGUAAUUCACACAUUGAAAACAGCUCCAAGUUAAUAUGUUAUAGAACUUAGUAAAUCAAAAGUAGCUACAAAUAUAUUUGUUGAAACCUCUCUGAAUACCCGAUAAAAAACACCGGCGUGAAUUUAAAUAUGAUUUUAGUGAUCGUUAUAUCGUACUAAAAACCUCCACAUACAAUAUAAAAUGAAAUAUUAAUAGUUAAACUAAAAAUAUAUCCGUACUUUUAAUUGUCAACUUCUACCCACACAAAAAAGGAAUGGAUAGGAAUUUAUUACAAUGAUUGGGCU